GAUGAAGAACGCAGCGAAAUGCGAUAAGUAGUGUGAAUUGCAGAAUUCAGUGAAUCAUCGAAUCUUUGAACGCACAUUGCGCCCCUUGGUAUUCCAUGGGGCAUGCCUGUUCGAGCGUCAUUUGUACCUUCAAGCUCUGCUUGGUGUUGGGUGUUUGUCUCGCCUCUGCGUGUAGACUCGCCUCAAAACAAUUGGCAGCCGGCGUAUUGAUUUCGGAGCGCAGUACAUCUCGCGCUUUGCACUCAUAACGACGACGUCCAAAAGUACAUUUUUACACUCUUGACCUCGGAUCAGGCGGGGAUACCCGCUGAACUUAAGCAUAUCAAUAAGCGGAGGA
rnacentral:misc_RNA from 1 species